ACGAACGCUGGCGGCGUGCUUAACACAUGCAAGUCGAACGGAAAGGCCCCUUUGGGGGUUCUCGAGUGGCGAACGGGUGAGUAACACGUGAGUAACCUGCCCUUGACUUCGGGAUAACUUCAGGAAACUGGGGCUAAUACCGGAUAGGAAUCCUUGCUGCAUGGUGGGGGUUGGAAAGCUUCGGCGGUUUUGGAUGGACUCGCGGCUUAUCAGCUUGUUGGUGGGGUAGUGGCUUACCAAGGCUUUGACGGGUAGCCGGCCUGAGAGGGCGACCGGCCACAUUGGGACUGAGAUACGGCCCAGACUCCUACGGGAGGCAGCAGUGGGGAAUAUUGCACAAUGGGCGGAAGCCUGAUGCAGCAACGCCGCGUGCGGGAUGACGGCCUUCGGGUUGUAAACCGCUUUCAGCAGGGGCGAAGCUUGUGGUGACGGUACCUGCAGAAGAAGCACCGGCUAACUACGUG
rnacentral:rRNA from 1 species